rnacentral:rRNA from 1 species
GAUGAACGCUGGCGGCGUGCCUAAUACAUGCAAGUCGAGCGAACAGACGAGGAGCUUGCUCCUCUGACGUUAGCGGCGGACGGGUGAGUAACACGUGGAUAACCUACCUAUAAGACUGGGAUAACUUCGGGAAACCGGAGCUAAUACCGGAUAAUAUAUAGAACCGCAUGGUUCAAUAGUGAAAGACGGUUUUGCUGUCACUUAUAGAUGGAUCCGCGCCGCAUUAGCUAGUUGGUAAGGUAACGGCUUACCGAGGCAACGAUGCGUAGCCGACCUGAGAGGGUGAUCGGCCACACUGGAACUGAGACACGGUCCAGACUCCUACGGGAGGCAGCAGUAGGGAAUCUUCCGCAAUGGGCGAAAGCCUGACGGAGCAACGCCGCGUGAGUGAUGAAGGUCUUCGGAUCGUAAAACUCUGUUAUUAGGGAAGAACAAAUGUGUAAGUAACUAUGCACGUCUUGACGGUACCUAAUCAGAAAGCCACGGCUAACUACGUG